rnacentral:rRNA from 1 species
UCUUAAAAUCAUUGUAUUGAUGGUUCUUGAGAUAACGUAAGGGAUAAAAAUGAUAUUACCUUACUAUAAGUGUUGUCCAACAUUACUGGUGCCAGAAGACUCGGUAACGCCAGAAACGCAAACGUUAGUCGUCCUAAACAGGCGUAAAGGGUAAGUAGGCUGCUUUGAAAGUUUUUAAUUAGAAAGCUCUUAAAAAAAAUUAAAGUAAUUAAUAAUGAAUUAAAGCUAGAAUCAAAUAGGGGAUAAGCCAAAUAAUAUUUAGUGUAAGGCUAAUAUCUUUAGAUACUAAAUGGAAUACUAAGGUGAAAACUUUUAUCUACUAAUGAUUGACGCUGAGGAACGAAGGUGAGAAUAGAAAACAGGA